UCCCCGGUGGUCCAGUGGCUAACACUCAGCAUUCCCAAUGCAGGGGCCCCAGGUUCGAUCCCUGGUCAGGGAA
rfam:Ovis aries breed Texel chromosome 1, whole genome shotgun sequence.